CGGACGGGUGAGUAACACGUGGGCAACCUGCCCGUAAGACCGGGAUAACUUCGGGAAACCGGAGCUAAUACCGGAUAACACCGAAGAUCGCAUGAUCUUUGGUUGAAAGGCGGCUUUGGCUGUCACUUACGGAUGGGCCCGCUGCGCAUUAGCUAGUUGGUGAGGUAACGGCUCACCAAGGCGACGAUGCGUAGCCGACCUGAGAGGGUGAUCGGCCACACUGGGACUGAGACACGGCCCAG
rnacentral:rRNA from 1 species